GCAAACUUGGUCAUUUAGAGGAAGUAAAAGUCGUAACAAGGUUUCCGUAGGUGAACCUGCGGAAGGAUCAUUAUCGAGUUUUGAAACGGGUUGUAGCUGGCCUUCCGAGGCAUGUGCACGCCCUGCUCAUCCACUCUACACCUGUGCACUUACUGUAGGCUUUCGGGAGCUUCGAAAGCAGAGGGGAUUGGCCUUCACAAGCCGGUCUCUAAUGCCUGUAGUUGUGACCGGGGCUUACGUCUUACCACAAACUCUUAUAAGUAUCAGAAUGUGUAUUGCGAUGUAACGCAUCUAUAUACAACUUUCAGCAACGGAUCUCUUGGCUCUCGCAUCGAUGAAGAACGCAGC
rnacentral:misc_RNA from 1 species